rnacentral:rRNA from 1 species
AGGACGAACGCUGGCGGCGUGCUUAACACAUGCAAGUCGAGCGAGGCCCUUCCUUCGGGAAGGUGUCCUAGCGGCGAACGGGUGAGUAACACGUGGGCAACCUGCCCUCAGCUCUGGGAUAACUCCGGGAAACCGGGGCUAAUACCGGAUACGACCUCUAAGGGCAUCCGAAGAGGUGGAAAGUUUUUCGGCUGAGGAUGGGCCCGCGGCCUAUCAGCUUGUUGGUGGGGUGACGGCCUACCAAGGCGACGACGGGUAGCCGGCCUGAGAGGGUGACCGGCCACACUGGGACUGAGACACGGCCCAGACUCCUACGGGAGGCAGCAGUGGGGAUAUUGCGCAAUGGGCGAAAGCCUGACGCAGCGACGCCGCGUGAGGGACGAAGGCCUUCGGGUUGUAAACCUCUUUCAGCAGGGACGAAGCGAAAGUGACGGUACCUGCAGAAGAAGCACCGGCCAACUACGUGCCAGCAGCCGC